rnacentral:rRNA from 1 species
AUUGAACGCUGGCGGCAGGCCUAACACAUGCAAGUCGAGCGGAUGAAGGGAGCUUGCUCCUGGAUUCAGCGGCGGACGGGUGAGUAAUGCCUAGGAAUCUGCCUGGUAGUGGGGGAUAACGUCCGGAAACGGGCGUUAAUACCGCAUACGUCCUGAGGGAGAAAGUGGGGGAUCUUCGGACCUCACGCUAUCAGAUGAGCCUAGGUCGGAUUAGCUAGUUGGUGGGGUAAAGGCCUACCAAGGCGACGAUCCGUAACUGGUCUGAGAGGAUGAUCAGUCACACUGGAACUGAGACACGGUCCAGACUCCUACGGGAGGCAGCAGUGGGGAAUGUUGGACAAUGGGCGAAAGCCUGAUCCAGCCAUGCCGCGUGUGUGAAGAAGGUCUUCGGAUUGUAAAGCACUUUAGGUUGGGAGGAAGGGCAGUAAGUUAAUACCUUGCUGUUUUGACGUUACCAACAGAAUAAGCACCGGCUAACUUCGUG